rnacentral:tRNA from 1 species
GUUUUUGUAGCUUAUUGCCCAAAGCAUGACACUGAAAAUGUCAAGAUGAGAUCCUUUUCCCCAAAAACA